rnacentral:rRNA from 1 species
GUGGGGAAUAUUGGACAAUGGGCGAAAGCCUGAUCCAGCAAUGCCGCGUGAGUGAUGAAGGCCUUAGGGUUGUAAAGCUCUUUUACCAGGGAUGAUAAUGACAGUACCUGGAGAAUAAGCUCCGGCUAACUCCGUGCCAGCAGCCGCGGUAAUACGGAGGGAGCUAGCGUUGUUCGGAAUUACUGGGCGUAAAGCGCACGUAGGCGGUUACUCAAGUCAGAGGUGAAAGCCCGGGGCUUAACCCCGGAACUGCCUUUGAAACUAGGUAACUAGAAUCUUGGAGAGGUCAGUGGAAUUCCGAGUGUAGAGGUGAAAUUCGUAGAUAUUCGGAAGAACACCAGUGGCGAAGGCGACUGACUGGACAAGUAUUGACGCUGAGGUGCGAAAGCGUGGGGAGCAAACAGGAUUAGAAACCCGAGUAGUCC